rnacentral:rRNA from 1 species
UACGUAGGCAGCGAGCGUUGUUCGGAAUUACUGGGCGUAAAGAGUGUGUAGGCGGUGCUCUAAGUUCGGUGUGAAAUCUCCUGGCUUAACUGGGAGGGUGCGCCGGAAACUGGAGUGCUUGAGUGUGGGAGAGGAAAGCGGAAUUCCUGGUGUAGCGGUGAAAUGCGUAGAUAUCAGGAGGAACACCUGUGGUGUAGACGGCUUUCUGGACCAUUGCUGACGCUGAGACACGAAAGCGUGGGUAGCAAACAGG